CUGGUUUCCCAUAACUCCGAUGGAACAAGCCGUGGACACCUCCGUCUCUCCGAACCACACAGAGGCAAGAUAAGAAGUUCAAGGCAGACCCAACAAGGACAACCUCCCGGAGUCCCCUGAUCUCCAGCAGCCACAGGACGGGCACAAUGAAUACAAGGCACCGAUAAAUGUUGUGUUGUAAUCGUCAAGAAAAGACGGAUCAAGUGCCAACGAAUUGAGAAGAAUCAACCGUGAAGCUACCAGGAACCCGUUAUCCUCCAGUGGCGUCAUAUUCCACAACCUCAGCCUACCGGGAGCACCCAGCAGUCCGAGGUGUUCAGUGUUCAGAGACAUGGACACGGUAAGGAAGGCUGAACCCAGACCACAAGAUGCACAUUUUAAAACGUCAAGAAUGGGCCAAGAAAAUAUGUGAAGGCAGAUUUAUCUCUGGUCUUCUGGACUGAGAUGAGAGCGACUCUUGGCGGCCAAGAUGUAUCAGGAACGGUCAGAGAGCUUGUGGGCGCUUCUUUAACGGGAGUUUUAAGGUGAAGGAAAACAAUCCACUCAUCUGAACACAGUCUGCGACGAGGCGUUCGCUGCUGCACAAAAAGUUGACUGUGAAUCCGGUUUUGAAAUGACCUCGAUCACUGUCGUAGUUUCAUAAUUAAGUGAAUCCUCAAAAUUACAACUUGCCUAAUAAUUGUACAUGCAGUGUAGUAGAACGAUUGUUUACUCAGGAGCCAGACAGCGAUCACAGCUGGCGUUGCUUUUGUCCUGGUCAAUAACGUCAUUGAGCCGCUGUACAUCCUGUCCAGCUUCAGUCCAGUCAUGUGAUGUUGACUUAGCAAAUAUUCAAGUUCCACUCAGACUUUACAUUACCUCUGAUUACUGUCCAGAUACAAGUGACUUCAGAAAACCAAAACACAUUUAACUUGAAAGAAGUCUCUUAUGAAGAUCUCACAACAGGUUUAAGUUUCCAAGUCUUUGAUCUCUCUACUUGAGGAUAAUACCUAGAGUAUUCCUUCCCUCCAUCAUGUUGUACACAUGUCAUUGUAAAAUGUAGUAUAACAGUUUUACAUUAUUUAUCAUUACUUUUUAGUGUUAUGUCUUAGAGUUAUGGAUUACUUUAUUGUUUUAUAAAGACAAUCUGAGAGACUAAUUUGAUGAAAUGUGAAGUUUGGAUGCAAUAAAAUCAACCAAAAUGA